rfam:Trichobilharzia regenti genome assembly, scaffold: TRE_scaffold0026391
AGCCCUCUGUAUCCGUGCUAAGAUUUCGUCAAUGAUCAGCCCGAUGGGGCUGAGAAACUUCCCAAAUAAGUGGAGUG